rnacentral:rRNA from 1 species
GGGCUUGACAUCCCACGAACCUGCCUGAAAGGGCGGGGUGCCCGCAAGGGAGCGUGGAGACAGGUGGUGCAUGGCUGUCGUCAGCUCGUGUCGUGAGAUGUUGGGUUAAGUCCCGCAACGAGCGCAACCCUCACCCCUAGUUGCCACCGGGUAAUGCCGAGCACUCGAGGGGAACUGCCAGCGUCAAGCUGGAGGAAGGCGGGGAUGACGUCAAGUCAUCAUGCCCCUUACGCCCUGGGCUACACACGUGCUACAAUGGCCGGUACAAAGGGACGCAAGACCGCGAGGUGGAGCUAAUCCCAAAAAGCCGGUCUAAGUUCAGAUUGCAUUCUGCAACUCGACUGCAUGAAGGAGGAAUCGCUAGUAAUCGCGCAUCAGCCCGGCGCGGUGAAUACGUUCCCGGGCCUUGUACACACCGCCCGUCACACCACGAAAGCUGUCUGUGCUCGAAGUCGCUGAG